UGAAAACUCACGAGAUUUAAAU
rnacentral:snRNA from 1 species